rnacentral:rRNA from 2 species
CCCAGACAGCCAGGAUGUUGGCUUAGAAGCAGCCAUCAUUUAAAGAAAGCGUAAUAGCUCACUGGUCGAGUCGGCCUGCGCGGAAGAUGUAACGGGGCUAAACCAUGCACCGAAGCUGCGGCAGCGACACUGUGUGUUGUUGGGUAGGGGAGCGUUCUGUAAGCCUGUGAAGGUGGCCUGUGAGGGUUGCUGGAGGUAUCAGAAGUGCGAAUGCUGACAUAAGUAACGAUAAAGCGGGUGAAAAGCCCGCUCGCCGGAAGACCAAGGGUUCCUGUCCAACGUUAAUCGGGGCAGGGUGAGUCGACCCCUAAGGCGAGGCCGAAAGGCGUAGUCGAUGGGAAACAGGUUAAUAUUCCUGUACUUGGUGUUACUGCGAAGGGGGGACGGAGAAGGCUAUGUUGGCCGGGCGACGGUUGUCCCGGUUUAAGCGUGUAGGUGUGUGUUCCAGGUAAAUCCGGUUCACUUUAACACUGAGGCGUGAUGACGAGGCACUACGGUGCUGAAGCAACAAAUGCCCUGCUUCCAGGAAAAGCCUCUAAGCAUCAGGUAACAUCAAAUCGUACCCCAAACCGACACAGGUGGUCAGGUAGAGAAUACCAAGGCGCUUGA